CGCAAGGAAAGUUCAGUACCUUCCUAAAGAAUUGCUAAAAUAUUCAAUUCUUUUUACAUAGCAGAACUUCAUACACUGCUAUUUCUCCUGGCUGGUUAAUUAUGACUAAUGCAGCUUGUAAAUUUAUAUUCAUAUUUUUAUUUUGAUGUCUUUCAGGGUUUUUUUUUUCCAUCAUAUUAAGCAUUUGUCAGGCUGCUUCUUUAUUGGAACACUAUGAGGAAUGAUUCCCCAGAAGGUUAGUCUCUUGAGAGGAGACUUGCAGGGAAUUGGGAAUGUUUUGAAAUUUCAAGUACAUUCUAAGAAAAAAAACUCCAUCCAUAUCAGACUUUUUUAGGGAAUUAUCACAUGUCAAGGCCCUGAUUUUGAAAGUGGCUUGAAAUGAAUGAGCUUGUAGGCAUAUGCAGAGCCAGAUGCUAAUAGCACUCUGUUGUAGCUCUGCACAGGAAAAUGAAGGGAAAGCUCUUGAAAUAAUUUUAUAUGAACAGUCUGUUUCACACAAGAAAAAGAGGGGGGGAAAAAGAAAGAAAGAAACCUGAAACUCCUCAAGCCCAUUGUAAGGAUAUCCAACUUUAUGUGGUCUCUUCUACCUUCCAAAAUGAUCAUCAAAAUUCAGUGGGAUGCUGAAUCAAAAUUUUCAUGUCUCCAGCUUCCUUCAACGAUUCUGGGCUGCGACUUCUCAUGUUGCAGAUCUGAAAUCAUGAAUUACCAGCCAGCUGGAACAGCAGGAGAAGGAAAGUUCAUACAUACCCUGAGCUCCAGUUAGUCACUGUGAGAAGUGCACAGGAGCUCCGCUGUUUCCGUCUAAUGCUGGCAGAGAAA
rnacentral:lncRNA from 1 species